GGACGGAGCACUGCGAGACAUAAUUAGCAAUUCCGUUCAGCGAGCUGUCUCCUGAAAAACUUAAAAUACCUUCCCUGCCUCAUGCAUAUUCAGUGCCUCAUUUGCUAUUGUUUUUAUCCAACAGGUUGAAAUUCAAAAGGGAAAAAUUCUGAGUUGUCUGUCUCACUUUCAUUCUCUGUAUUCUCUUUUUCAGCAUCCCAGCCUUGCCCCCGUCCCGUUUCAGUAUAACAGGUUCUUUUUCUCCGGAAUAAAGAAUUGGACAAGUUUGAUUGCCCUGACCCAGCAUCGCCAGGAGGGUGAGUUUUGGCACAGCAGCCUUGGCUUGGACUUCUUCAGAUUCCCCUCUGCCUUGUGACCGGCCUGAUCUACGGGCCUCCCCCGCAGCCCCUCCUUUCCUGGCGGGCACCAUUGAUUGCCGGGACCCAGCGCCACAAGAAGGUACCGCUGAGCACUGCACCCCCCCACCCA
rnacentral:lncRNA from 1 species